UCACUUACCUAGCAGGGGAGAUACCAUGAUCAUUAAGGUGGUUCUGCCAGCAUGAGGCACAUCCAUUGCACUCUGGGUAUGCUGACCCCUACGAUUUCCCCAACUGCGGGAAACAUGAUUACAUAAUUUGUGGUUCAGUAUUGAUGCAUUAACACUAGAAUUCC
ensembl:snRNA U1 U1 spliceosomal RNA